AAAACUGCCCAAAUAGACGGACACUUAGACUCCGUUUGGUUUGUAGGUUGGGAUGGAAAAAGAGAAAUAUUUUAAGAAUAUUUUUUUUCAAACAGGGGUGGGAUGAGAAAAAAAUAGGAUGCGAAAUCCCAAAAAUAAGGAUUUGGGGUCGCACCCAGUGAGAAAGGAAAACUCGAAGAUACAUCUGGGAAAAAAUAUCGGGCCUUGUCAGAGAGUAAGCUCCUUCGUCUUCUCCCAUCUACUUCCAGGCAUUCCAACGGUCAUACCUUCGGCAACUUUUCCGGCAUCUUUGAACAACGCCAUUUUUCCCAGGCAUUCCAGGAUCUCGAAGAAAAUCAUUGAGAACAGUGUUCCAUCCGUUUUGCCCAGGCAACGAGUUGGAAAUCAACACUCGCGACUUUUCAGUGAUUUUCGACUCUGUUCAAGCCGUUUUGCCCAGGCAUUCCAGGAUCUUGCAGAAACUCCAUUGUUCUUAAGCCGUUUUGCCCAGGCAUUCCAAGAGCUCGAAGAAAAUCACUUAACACAGAAACUGGACAUGUGAAGGCCAUUUGGGCUUUUCUGGAGUAGUCGCGAGUGUCCGGUGUCCCUCAUGAAGUAGUCAUAUGCCAAGAACACUUGGCAUUAUAGAGCAAUAGAGGCUGCAAACUUGUAGAAAUUUAUGAUAAACCUAUGACAAACUCAUGGACUAUGCAUUGAUUUCUUGAAAUCAAAAUUUCUCAUUUUGGGAUGUAUUUUUGAAGAUGUUAAGCCUCAAACUUAUAAGUUGAUAGUAACAAUAGCCAAUCAUGUUCUUUGUUUUGCGUGGUUAAUGCAUAUAAAAAUUAGAUCUGGAGAUCUUUGAAUUUGGAUAA